ACGGAAGGCAGCAGUGGGGGAUAUUGCACAAUGGGGGAAACCCUGAUGCAGCGACGCCGCGUGAGUGAAGAAGUAUUUCGGUAUGUAAAGCUCUAUCAGCAGGGAAGAAAAUGACGGUACCUGACUAAGAAGCUCCGGCUAAAUACGUGCCAGCAGCCGCGGUAAUACGUAUGGAGCAAGCGUUAUCCGGAUUUACUGGGUGUAAAGGGGGCGUAGACGGCGAGGCAAGUCUGAUGUGAAAGCCAUGGGCUCAACCCAUGAACUGCAUUGGAAACUGUCUUGCUUGAGUGUCGGAGAGGUAAGCGGAAUUCCUAGUGUAGCGGUGAAAUGCGUAGAUAUUAGGAGGAACACCAGUGGCGAAGGCGGCUUACUGGACGAUAACUGACGUUGAGGCUCGAAAGCGUGGGGAGCAAACAGGAUUAGAUACCCUGGUA
rnacentral:rRNA from 1 species